rnacentral:tRNA from 1 species
GCCGGGAUAGCUCAGUUGGUAGAGCAGCUGAUUUGUAAUCAGACGGUCGAGGGUUCGAUUCCUUUUCCCGGCACCA